GUCGGGAAUAUUGGACAAUGGGGGCAACCCUGAUCCAGCCAUGCCGCGUGUGUGAAGAAGGCCUUCGGGUUGUAAAGCACUUUCAGUAGGGAGAAAGGGGAGACGGUUAAUAGCCGUUUUCAUUGAUGUUACCUACAGAAGCAGCACCGGCUAACUCCGUGCCAGCAGCCGCGGUAAUACGGAGGGUGCGAGCGUUAAUCGGAAUUACUGGGCGUAAAGCGCGCGUAGGCGGUUUGGUUAGUUGGAUGUGAAAGCCCAGGGCUCAACCUUGGAACUGCAUCCAAUACUGCUAGACUAGAGUACGGUAGAGGGGGGUAGAAUUCCACGUGUAGCGGUGAAAUGCGUAGAGAUGUGGAGGAAUACCAGUGGCGAAGGCGGCCCCCUGGACUGAUACUGACGCUGAGGUGCGAAAGCGUGGGGAGCAAACAGG
rnacentral:rRNA from 1 species